UUAUAUUCUUUUCCCUCGUCGAUGACGAUAAAAAUAUAUCCGAGACACCUACCGACUUUGCGAUUUAUGGGUGCGUUCGUCUUUGCGUAAACAAGUUUUCGUGUAAAAAAGUUUUUGGGGAAAAAAAGUUCAACCGUAAACUUUUAUGUAAAACGUAAAAAGUUUACCGUAAAAGUUUUUGGUGAGGCUUUGAUGGCGGCGGUAGUUCAGGUGGUGGUGGGUUUGUGGGGGUGGUGGGUUUCAAGUCGGCGAUGGGCGGCGGCGGAGUUGUGGUGGUGGUGGGUUUCUAGUCGGCGAUGAGCGGUGUUGUGGUGGUGGUGGGUUUUGACGUCGACGACAGUGAGGGGGUGAGCAAUGACAUUGAUGGUGAUGACGGCAGCCGGUAACCCCUCAGAUCAAGACUCAUGGGUUUGGUGGUGGUGGAGAGGGUUUGAGCAAUGACGUUGAUGGUGAUGACGGCAGCCGGCCGGCGCCGGAGCUGCACCGGCGACGACUGCAGUAGAGGUUCGGGUUCACUUCAGAUUUUGUCGGGUUUUCGGCUCGGUUUCGGGUCUCGGUCAAAGUUGGUCAGACGCGGUUCGGGUGUGGUUCGACGGGUCAGAUUGAAUUUUCCUUUCAGCUUUAUGACCUCAAGCAGCAAGGUUUCAUAGAGAGGCAAGAGGUGAAAUUUUUUUAGUAGACGAAAACACUGCGUUUUAGCGAUUUUUAUUACAACAACCUGGAAUUUGGUUAAUGUUUAACAUCUAAAAUACUCUU